rnacentral:rRNA from 1 species
UGGGGAAUAUUGCGCAAUGGGGGGAACCCUGACGCAGCAACGCCGCGUGAAGGAAGAAGGUUUUCGGAUUGUAAACUUCAGCAAACAGGGAAGAAAAGGACAGUACCUGAUUGGAAGCCACGGCUAACUACGUGCCAGCAGCCGCGGUAAUACGUAGGUGGCAAGCGUUGUCCGGAUUUACUGGGUGUAAAGGGCGUGUAGACGGUUAAAUAAGUCAGUGGUGAAAUACCCGGGCUCAACCCGGGAACUGCCAUUGAAACUGUAUAACUUGAGUGCAGGAGAGGAAAGCGGAAUUCCUAGUGUAGCGGUGAAAUGCGUAGAUAUUAGGAGGAACACCAGUGGCGAAGGCGGCUUUCUGGACUGUAACUGACGUUGAGGCGCGAAAGCGUGGGGAGCAAACAGG